UGGAACAAGGUUGCUCUUCCAUUUCAUAGAGGGUGGGUACUUACAGGAGCUGAUGUUCAGCGUAGUUGGUGUACUUCUCGCUUGUUUUGCUCCACUGCUUGGAGCCAGUGAUCGUGCAUUGGG